ACGGGUGAGUAACACGUUGGAACUGCCCCAAAGUGAGGAAUAAGCCACCGAAAGGUGGUCUAAUACUUCAUAAUAUCCAUCUCGUAUGGAUUAAAGCUUUAUGCGCUUUGGGAGGGGCCUGCGUAACAUUAGCUUGUUGGUGAGGUAAAAGCUCACCAAGGCUUCGAUGUUUAACUGGUUUGAGAGGAUGACCAGUCACACUGGGACUGAGAUACGGCCCAGACUCCUACGGGAGGCAGCAGUAAGGAAUCUUCCACAAUGGGGCAACCCUGAUGGAGCAAUACCGCGUGCAGGAUGAAGCGUUUCGGCGUGUAAACUGCUUUUAUCACCGAAGAUUAUGACUGUAGGUGAAGAAUAAGAACCGGCUAACUACGUG
rnacentral:rRNA from 1 species